UACAGAGAUUUAUUACAUUACCUACUAACACCGUUUAGUUAAUCCCGAAAUGUGUUUAUCCUGACUGGGCACGGUAGCGAUCCCAAGAACCUAUCAAUAUGUAUUAAUUUAAUAUUUACAGCUGUAGAAUAUAUAAAACAGAAAGAAUAUGAUACAUUCACGUCUAGUAUUAAGAACUCAUGUGCAUACGCUUAUUUUUUAUCUCCUUUUUAAAUAAUAAAUCUUCAAUGCAAAAUAAUACCAAGCCUUGAUUAUCCGCCGAAACAGAUUCUUUUCUUAAAGGGGAAGUGUACACGCAAAAAUCACUUUCUUUCUUAUUUUAAACAAAACGGAAUUUUAGAAUUAGUUAGUAUCAGUGUUUGAAAAUAUACACUCAUUUUUCUCACAGUCAAUGUAGCGAGCUCACAAUAAGAGUGAAAAUGUCAUGCCGUUAUGAGGCCUCGUUUUCCGAGCUAAACAGGCCUGAGUUAUCCCCCUUAGAUUAUGACGUAAUUGGUGCCAAUUUAACUGGGUCCCUGUCUUGUCACAACGCAAAAGAUAUCAAGAACCAGUUUAUGGUGAGACAACAUGGCAUCCGAUACCUUGCCUGGUCCGAAGAAGUUCCCUUGACCCUUCAAGAAAUCGCAAAACCAUACGAUUUUGAACCAAAACGAGCAAGCUUCGCGGUAUGGAAACGAUGAAAAUCAAGUGGAAACAAGAGAAGACCCACAUCACCUAAUUUGUCACCCGACAUCGACUCCACAUCUACACAAUUAGGCCUACCAGUGACAACGUGAAUCUAUCUACAACUCAUAAACAAGAGGUUCACUUUGGGGAUUUGCAGAAAUAGUUGAAGAAUCAGAGAAAAGUUAUUCCAUCUUGUGUUGUCGAGGUGAUUCAUGAAAGAUUUCCAUCUGAUGUAUGUAAUGUUUUUCUCUAUGCUCAUUAAAAUAAACUUUUUUCAUUGAAA